AGCAGCAGCAGCAUCAGCCUGUGAGAUUUCCUUCUGAGAAAUGGAUAGGGGGCGAUGACGUAGCGAUGCCCAAGGUCCACAACACAGCUAAUGGCCAAGCAUCACCGCGACCGCCCAAUGAAGGCCUUCCCUCCUGACCACGGGUCAGCGCAGCGCCAGGCAUCUCCCCAGACCAUCGAGGACGCCUGCUGAGUGAAAGCGUCGGGGCAAAAGGGCCACGAAGAUGAGUCACUGUGAGAGCAGGAAAGAAGCUCAUGAGUAAAUAUAUUAACUGGGAACGUUUGAGAGGGAGGAGCAAUACAAGUGAUGAAUAGAAAAAUAACUAUUCCGAAGGUGUUUUCCUCCAUUACAUCCGUAUCACAAAACUAAAGUUCGUAUCUAUUAGUUCGGAAAAAUAAUACCGUAACGUGUGCGGAGAGACAACAUAGAAGUGAAGGAUAUAGUGGUGGAUAGAAACUGUUUGAAGGGGUAUUUACUCUUCCCAAUCCAUCUGCAGUACAAACAAUAGUCUAUAUCCAUUAUUGGUUCAGAAAGGUAGCGUGGUGAGGGGCGCAGAGCAGAAUGGGAGGCGGAUUGCUUGCCUGCUGCUCCUCUCCCUUCCUCCCACCUCGUCCUUGAUUGUCAUGUGGUAAUAAAGUGACGCCCAUAUUCAAAAAUUCCUUGCUUUCUCACCAUGACAAUUUUCCAAGGCCAGAGAGACAACGAACCAGGUUUUCAAGACAGUUUCUCUUUAUAAUAAACAGGAAAUCUUGCCAAACCAUCACCAGAACCACAAAAAUACUAUUAAAAAUACGAGUAUCUUCAAUUACAGCCUUUGGAAAGUUGUGAUGGUGAGGGCAAAGCGUUUCAGAAUACGGGCCAUGAUGAAUGUUUGGCAGACGAACGUUCUGUUGUUUCAGCUUCCUGUCAGUCCUGCUGAUUGUAGAUUACUUAUUUUGUUAUGUAAAUGUUCGAUAUUUUAAUGAUUUAGUUUUGUACUUAAUUUUAUACUAAGUCUUGUUCUUUGCCUUCCUUUCUUUAUUACGUCACAAAUUUAUGCUCCUGUGGUUUGCUCAGAGAUACUUUUCUGCAUUAUAUUAGUUUUUUUCGCAAAUUCAACCUAUCUGUACCUAUUAACAUGACAUGACAAACAGCAACUCUCUCUCUCUCUCUCUCUCUCUCUCUCUCUCUCUCUCUCUCUCGGGCAUUGUGUCACGUGUCGAGGCACUGCGGGAUGUCCUGUAAAUUAUUUUCAUUACUCAGGAAAUUUCAGAUCUCACUCACGGUACACGAGGCGUCGGCGAUCGCUUAGGUUUGGAUCAGAAAGCGAGUGACUUCCUGCACUACCUCCACUAAUUAGCGUCAAAAUACUGUAUUGUAGUGUCUUGAAACUGUCUUGAAAGAGAUCACAGAAAGGAGGCAAUACAGAAACAGGGAGUGAGUUCCAGGUGAAUUAUUGUGAAGUGUUCUGGUAAGGUGGUGAGGAAUACUCGUAAUUCAGAGUGCAAAAUGUUUAAGAGAUAAAUGUGUGGGGAAACAGUAGUGAGUCCCGAGGAAGGCAGCAAGAGGUGGUGGUGGUGGUGGUGGCCAGGUGGUGCAGGUGGUGAUGGUGGUGGUGGCGUGCAGCGUGCAGGUGGUGGAUUAUGGUAAAAAUUGUCAGAAAGUGAACGGUCUUAUCUCUGUAGACUUCACCGUUUAUCAGAGUGUUUCAUCCUGUGUUCCAAAAUGCUGACUGUUGGUUUGUUCCCGUUCUUGUGUGUGUGUGUGUGUGUGUGUGUGUGUGUGUGUGUGUGUGUGUGUGUGUGAUAGGUCAAGAGUUUUUGCACUCGUCUAUCUACCUCCUCGAUGUACAUAAACCAUUUAGAGUUAGGACAAAAUCGUCGACUGGGUGUUUAUGUCAUAUUUUGCAGCAACUUCGCAUAAAUUAUACACGUAGGUUAUAUUUGACAUUGGUUGUAUAGAUGAAAUGUGUAUGAGAGGAAUAUGGUGUGUGUGUGUGUGUGUGUGUGUGUGUGUGUGUGUGUGUGUGUGUGUGUGUGUGUUUACGGGGAUAUUUUACUUAUGGGUUUGUAGUGUGACCAAAAUUAGGGGAAACUGAUAUGCCAAAUGUGAGAAUAAAUUUUGUAUUAAU
rnacentral:lncRNA from 1 species